rnacentral:rRNA from 1 species
UACGUAGGGUGCGAGCGUUGUCCGGAAUUAUUGGGCGUAAAGAGCUCGUAGGCGGUUUGUCGCGUCGGCCGUGAAAACUUGGGGCUUAACCCCAAGCCUGCGGUCGAUACGGGCAGACUUGAGUUCGGCAGGGGAGACUGGAAUUCCUGGUGUAGCGGUGAAAUGCACAGAUAUCAGGAGGAACACCGGUGGCGAAGGCGGGUCUCUGGGCCGAUACUGACGCUGAGGAGCGAAAGCGUGGGGAGCGAACAGG